rnacentral:rRNA from 1 species
GACGAACGCUGGCGGCGUGCCUAAUACAUGCAAGUAGAACGCUGAGGAGAGGAGCUUGCUCUUCUUGGAUGAGUUGCGAACGGGUGAGUAACGCGUAGGUAACCUGCCUGGUAGCGGGGGAUAACUAUUGGAAACGAUAGCUAAACCGCCUGAAAAUGCUUAUUGGCAGAUUAUUUAUUUGAAAAUGCAAAUUCAUCACUAACAAAUGGAACUGCGUUGUAUUAGCUAGUUGGUGGGGGGACGGCCCACCCAAGCCACGAUACAUGGCCGACCUGGGAGGGUGAUCGGCCACACUGGGACUGAGACACGGCCCAGACGCCUACGGGAGGCAGCAGUAGGGAAUCUUCGGCGAAGGGGGGAAGCCUGACCGAGCAACGCCGCGUGAGUGAAGAAGGUUGUCGGAUCGUAAAGCUCAGUUGUAAGAGAAGAACGGGUGUGAGAGUGGAAAGUUCACACUGUGACGGUAGCUGACCAGAAAGGGACGGCUAACUACGUG